AAAGGCUCUAGUGGCGCAGCUAACGCGAUAAGUACUCCGCCUGGGGACUACGGCCGCAAGGCUAAAACUCAAAGGAAUUGACGGGGACCCGCACAAGCGGUGGAGCAUGUGGUUUAAUUCGAUGCAACGCGAAGAACCUUACCUGGUCUUGACAUCCUGCGAACUUUCUAGAGAUAGAUUGGUGCCUUCGGGAACGCAGUGACAGGUGCUGCACGGCUGUCGUCAGCUCGUGUUGUGAAAUGUUGGGUUAAGUCCCGCAACGAGCGCAACCCCUAUUGAUAGUUACCAUCAUUAAGUUGGGUACUCUAUUAAGACUGCCGCUGACAAGGCGGAGGAAGGUGGGGACGACGUCAAGUCAUCAUGGCCCUUACGACCAGGGCUACACACGUGCUACAAUGGGUAUUACAGAGGGCUGCGAAGGUGCGAGCUGGAGCGAAACUCAAAAAGGUACUCUUAGUCCGGAUUGCAGUCUGCAACUCGACUGCAUGAAGUCGGAAUCGCUAGUAAUCGCAGGUCAGAAUACUGCGGUGAAUACGUUCCCGGGUCUUGUACACACCGCCCGUCACACCAUGGGAGUGGGUUGCUCCAGAAGUAGAUAGCUUAACGAAUGGGCGUUUACCACGGAGUGAUUCAUGACUGGGGUGAAGUCGUAACAAGGUAGCCGUAGGGGAACCUGCGGCUGGAUCACCUCCUUAA
rnacentral:rRNA from 1 species